rnacentral:lncRNA from 1 species
CAGCAGUGGGAGGGGACAGUUUCAGGGCAAAGUGCUGGAAUGCCUUUAAACCCCAGCAGAGCAGCCGGCCGGCCGGUGCCUCCACCUGCUGCGUUCCCAAGCCCAGCCCGGGGCAUGCCCUGGGAGCCCGGAGCCCACCCAAGGAGGCCAGUCGGGAAGACAAACCAGUCUUCGGGAGGCAAAGUGACCCUGGGGACCAGACGGACUGCGCCCUUCAAUGCUCUCCUCACAAUCCAUGUUGGAGAAGAGGUGCUGAUCUGAGGCUGCAGAGGGAGUGGCCGCUCACUGGUCAGCUUCUGGGCUCUUCCGAACCUCAUUCCCCUCUUCCACCCCUUCUAAGACCAAGAGACUGUCCACACUCGUAGUGGUACGAGUCAGCGUGCAAACCUUGGGCAGAGCCAAGUCACUGCCAUUCUCAGUCAUGUCCGACUCUCCACGAGCAUUUGGGGUUUUCUUGGCACAGAUCCAGGACCGUCCCCAGAAAGCUGAGCCUUGGAGGAAACCUGGGAAAUUAGGAGGUGCAAGUGAACUGGGAGAGUGAGUGCUCUGGACACAGAGACCCAGGGCAAAGGCACAGAGGUGGGAGAUGGGUGAGAGAAAUGCAGCAAAGUGGCCCAAAAGGGUGGCUGAGUUCCAGAGUUCCUGAAGGGGAGGAAUAUUGGAUGAGGUUGAAAAGAUAGUUUGGAGCCCCAUCGUAAAAGCCUUUAACAGUCAGAUGCCCGAGUUUGUAUUUUAUCCUAGAGGUAAUCCGGAGCUGUGGGCAGCUGGGUAGCACAGUGGGUAGAGCCCAGGAAGACCUAAAUCAAAUCUGGCCUCAGAUACGAAGUGUCCAGUGUGAUCCCAGACAAUUCACUUCUCCCUGUUUGCCUCAGUUUCCCUAUCUGUCAAAUGAGCUGGAGAAGAAAAUAGCAAAGAACUCCAGGAUCUGAGUUGUAUGAUCCUGGGCAGGUCACUUAACCCUGUUUGCCUCAGUUUUCUCAUCUGUCAGAUGAGCUAAAGAAGGAAAUGGCCAACAUUCUGGUAUCUUUGACAAGAAAACCCCAAAUGGGGUCACUAAGAGUUGGAGGGGCCUGAACAUCAACAGGAAAAAGGAAGGGCUGUCAUUGAGAGGAGGAGAGUCCCCGGGCAGAUGGGGGUUUAAAGAAAACUUUAGCAGCUUGUGUGGAGGCUGCCCCGGGUGGGAGAGCUCGGGGGAGGGAAACCAAUGGCAAAGACUGCAGUUGGCCAUUGGUCUUCUUACCGGACUUCUGCUGGAGCUGGU